AUGUACCUCACGAGCCCGACUUUUCUCUGGCGGCGUCCGUAUAUGAAGAUGCGGCGCCGGCUUGAGGGAAUCGGGCGGAGGAGGCCUGGGGACGACGAGGUGGUUCCCUCAUCUCACAGAAAACCGAGCGUGUUCUUCCUCCCUCCCUUCUCGAGACUUGCGGCGGCUAUGGAGCGUGGGCACACGUUAGCAACGGAUGGAGGGUUGCAGCACCGGAUCGAGGCCAUCAGUCAUCACUACAGAUGGAGCAAGGAGGAGCAUUCAGCUGUACUUUCCACAGCCACUGAUUCCACCACGCAGGAAUUGUCAGAAUGGAAUGCGAAAUAUUGCGACAAGUUUGGAUUUGUCUUCAUGAUAUGCGUGUCCAGGAGGACCGCCCCUGAGGUUCACAAAAGUGAGGCCACGACGUGGAGCUAG
rnacentral:rRNA from 1 species